UAUAUAAACACCACCCAUCACUUCCAAGCUCGGAUCAAGUGUUCUCCCAUGUUGCCCUCUCGAUAGAUCUCGUCGCCUCCUUUCCCUUCUCGCUUCCCUCGCUCGCCCUCUCAUGGCAAUGGCAAUAACUACCCCGCCGGCGCUCCGCCUUCGCCAGUCGCCUAGCCAUGGACCCUUCCGCCUCUUCCCUCCUCGCCCUUCGCGUUCACUCGUGGCGAGGGCCCAUGGCUCCAUCCCCAUGCCACUGUGUCGACGUCUGAUAACCCUAAACCAAUACCUUCCGGCAUCCGCAAUCCCCCGCCUGCGAUCGUCGCCGCUCUCCGCCACCUCGGCUGACGACGUCCAUCCGGUCGAUAAGGGAUCCAACUACCAGGAAUGGGAAUCCUUGACGUCCAGGUUCGCGGGAGCUGCGAACAUCCCCUUCCUCCUCCUACAACUUCCCCAGAUCAUCCUAAACGCCCGCAAUCUUCUCUCGGGCAACAACGCAGCCCUUUUUGCCGUGCCUUGGCUCGGUAUGCUUACUGGAUUGCUGGGCAACCUGUCGCUAGUGUCCUAUUUCGUGGAGAAGAAGGAGACAGAAGCUGUCAUCGUCCAGUCGCUGGGUGUCGUCUCGACGUAUGUAGUGAUAGCACAGCUAACCAUGGCCCAGGCGAUGCCGCUGCCGCAAUUCGCGGCGACGACGGUUGUUGUGGCUUUAGGGCUGGUUGUGAACUUUUUGAAUUACUUCGGUUGGGUUGAUGGUGCUAUCUGGAAUCUCUGGGAGGAUUUCAUUACCAUUGGUGGACUAGCUGUACUCCCUCAGGUUAUGUGGUCUACGUUUGUCCCAUUUGUCCCCAGCAGCAUCCUUCCUGGAGUCAUUUCCUUCACUCUGGCAGCUGCAACUGUCAUUUUGGCACGGACUGGCAAACUUUCCGAGAAGGCAACAAAGUUAGUAGGUUCAUUGUCUGGGUGGACUGCUACCCUCCUUUUCAUGUGGAUGCCGGUUGCACAGAUGUGGACAAAUUAUCUCAAUCCUGAUAACAUCAGAGGCUUAUCCUCUUUCACAAUGUUGCUCUCGAUGAUGGGAAACGGUCUGAUGAUUCCGCGAGCUUUGUUUAUACGAGACCUUAUGUGGUUCACUGGUUCAACUUGGGCAUCAUUUCUUCAGGGUUGGGGAAACCUAUUCUGCAUGUAUAGUCUUAACACCAUCAGCAGGGAGUUUUUCUUUGGAACAACCAUUGGACUGCUUCUUUGGACAGGGAUGGCCCUCUGGAGAGAUUCAGUGGCCUAUGGAUAUAACAACCCUUUAAGAUCCAUCAAAGAGCUUGCUUUUGGAUCAUGAUUAAAAUGAAGAUAGUACUUUCUUUUAGUAAUCCAAGUGUUCGAGCUUCCUACUAAUCUGAAAGUCCUACGAAGCCGACCUCCAGUAAAAUCUACUCUACUACUUCAAGAUGCGCCUCACCGACGUCGCUCCUCCUCAGCCUAGCGCCGGCAGCCGGCUGCCUUUCCUCUGCCGAUCCCUUGCCGCUGCCCUCUUUGGACCGAAGCAGCGUCGGCCACUGAGACUUCCUCUCUUCUCCUCUGGUCCGACGAGCCACCGCCGGACACCUUUGCUCUCGGCCCCAUCGCGGUGAUCAGUAGCCACUCGACGUUGACGCGCAGAGAUUACACCGUGCCCUAGUCCUCCAUCUCGCUGGCAACCGAGUACCACUGCCGGUGUUCUCCCGUGCCUGAGCUUCAUCUCCUCUUCAGAGUAAGGUUGUUCGGAUGAGGUAACAACAAGUGAUUUCAGCAGUGAUUCGGCAGUGUAAAUUUGAGGUUUCCAGCAGCAAUCAACCCUUGUUGGCAGUAACAAACUUUCAGUGGAUCAGUGAUACUUGCUGUGAAUUUAGGUUUAUCGGUUUGGGAGAUUGGCAAUUUAAUCUUGCUCCGACUGUUGAUUUACAGUAGCAACGUUUCCAACCAGAUUUGGACAAGUUGUAGAGGACCUUGACGCGAGACGGGUAUCUCGGCGUCGGAAUUUGACCGGAU